GUGAGGUUAGGUGAGAUUAGGUCAGGUUAGGUUAGGUGAGGUUAGGUUAGGUGAGGUUAGGUUAGGUUAGGUUAGGUUAGGUGAGGUUAGGUUAGGUGAGGUUAGGUUAGGUGAGGUUAGGUUAGGUGAGGUUAGGUUAGGUUAGGUUAGGUGAGGUUAGGUUAGGU